UCCAUGAGGGCUUUCACCUGCUCGGCUGGGGAGCCCGUACCGUGGCCCUGGCCGGCCUCCCUGCCCGUCCGCACCUCUUGCUUCCUCAUGGAGUCGGGGAUCACCUCCAGGAGCUGUGAAGAGAGGGCCUGAACCUGCUGCCUGCCGUGCCCCCCAUCCAGCAGCCUGGGACAGGCCCUGGGGAUGUGAAGGUGACCAAGUUAGAUCAAGUCCUUGACCUGCGGUUUGACGGGUAAGGGAUAAUGGCAAUGGAAAGGAAAACAAGUCAAUAAGCAAGGCAGUUUCUGCUGGUGGUUAGUGCUGUGAGUGGAAUAAACUGUGAGUGACAAAGAAGCCUGGAAUUCUAGGGGGAGGAGGAGCAGAGGUGGUAAUUGGCGGCUGGGGAAGGCUGCUGUGAGAGGCCUCUGAGAAAAAGCUACCUAGGAGUAGAGAGGGUGAGAAAGAGUCAUGCAGAGAGCUAGGGGAGGGACAUUUCAGGCCAAGGAAACAGCAAGUGCUUAGAGGAAAUGUUGCUGGAACAUGGUAAGUGAGCAAGUGGCACCACCCCCUCAGGGCUGGAAAAGCCAGUCACCGUUGUUGUAAGGAGUUUGGAUUUGUUCUAAGUAUGGAGGGGAGCCACUGGGGGGAGUGACAUGAGCAAUGGAUAUCAGAUCUCUCCUGGAAUCCAUGAGCUACACUAAAUGAUUUUCUGAUAUUGAACCAACCUUGCAUUCUAGAAUACAGUCUUCCAUUUGUAUUAUUAAAUAGAAGAUGUAUAUAUUCCAUAUAUGUAAAAAAUGUGUGGGCUAGCACAAGAAUAGAUACAUAAGUCAACAGAAUAGGAUAUAGAGGCCAGGAACAAAUAUAUAUUUAUAAUAUCUACACAUUAAGGAGUUUGGUAACAUGACAAAAAUAGCAUUUCAAAUCAGUGAAAAUGGCAUUGGGGCAAUUGACCAGCCUAUGAAAAAUAUUUUCCAGCUGUAAUUCACAUUAAACACAAAAUUUAUUUUCAGGUCAAUUAAGGAGUUAAAAGUUGUAAACACAAAACCAUAAAAGCACAAUAAGAAAAUAUGAGAUAAUAUUUUAAAAUAUUAUUUAGGUAAAGGUUUUUUACAGUGAGACGUAAAACUCAGAAGUGUCAGCCUGGGCAACAUAGUGACACACCAUCUCUACAAAAAAAAAAAAAUAGAUGGGGCUGGUGGUGGGCACCUGUGGAACUAGCUAUGGGGAGGCUGAGGUAGGAGGACCCCUUGAGCUCAGGAGGCUGAGGCUGCAGUGAGCUAUGAUUGUGCCACUGCAAUCCAGCUUGGGUGACAGAGCAAGACCCUGGCUUUAAAAAAAAAAAAAAAAAGCAGAAUUCAUGAAGAGGGAGACUAGUAAAUUUGUCUUAAUUGAAUUAAAAUAUUAAAUAAUUAAAUAUUUAGUUUGAUAUUAAAUAAUUAAAAUAUUUGCCAGGCGUGGUGGCUCACGCCUGUAAUCCCAGCACUUUGGGAGGCUGAGGCGGGUGGAUCACAAGGUCAAGAGAUCAAGACCAGCCUGGCCAACAUGGUGAAACCCCAUCUCUACUAAAAAUACAAAAAUUAGCUGGGCGUGGUGGCACGUGCCUGUAGUCCCGGCUACUCGGGAGGCUGAGGCAGGAGAAUCGCUUGAACCCGGGAGGCAGAGGUUGCAGUGAGCCAAGAUGGCGCCACUGCACUCCAGCCUGGGUGACAGAGCGAGACUCCAUCUCAAAAAAUAAUAAUAAUAAUUAAAAUAUUUAUAAGUAAUAAUAGAUGCCAUAAAGUUGAAAGAAAAACUAUAAGCCAGGAGUCAACAUUUGCAACAUACAUGGAAAAAUAUGAAUAUCCUUAAUAUAUAAAGAACUUAUAAAUCAAUAAUAAGUAACCAAACAGAAUUAUGAACCCCAAAUGAAAUAGAAAAAAGGACACAGAUAAUUCAUAGAAGUAUAAAUGACCAAGAUAUUGAAAAGAUGCUCAGUGUCACUAAGGAUCAAGAAAAAAGCAAAAGAAUAAACUAUCAUUUUUCAUA